UUAAUUGAAGCCAAAAUAAGAGGCCUUUCAUUGUUAAUGAAAUUAUUGAUUAAAAUUAAUCCAAUUAAA
rnacentral:tRNA from 2 species